UUUCCGUAGGUGAACCUGCGGAAGGAUCAUUAGAAAGUGGUGGUACAGGGGGCCUCAUUCCUGAGGCUAGUCGCCCUGUAAAUCAUCCCCCUAGGCUGUUUAUGCUCGGGCCUGCUCUUGCUAAACUGGCCUAGGCCACUUUACCCUUGAUAAACUACUAUUGUUGCUUUGGCAGGUCGUGGCCUCGGCCCGUAGCACCUGCCAGAGGACCCAAACUCUUUUGUUAUGUGACGUCUGAGUACUAUAUAAUAGUUAAAACUUUCAACAACGGAUCUCUUGGUUCUG
rnacentral:misc_RNA from 1 species